rnacentral:rRNA from 1 species
AACGAACGCUGGCGGCAUGCCUAACACAUGCAAGUCGAACGAGACCUUCGGGUCUAGUGGCGCACGGGUGCGUAACGCGUGGGAACCUGCCCUUAGGUUCGGAAUAACUCCCCGAAAGGGGUGCUAAUACCGGAUAAUGUCUUCGGACCAAAGAUUUAUCGUCUUUGGAUGGGCCCGCGUUGGAUUAGCUAGUUGGUAGGGUAAAAGCCUACCAAGGCGACGAUCCAUAGCUGGUCUGAGAGGAUGAUCAGCCACACUGGGACUGAGACACGGCCCAGACUCCUACGGGAGGCAGCAGUGGGGAAUAUUGGACAAUGGGCGGAAGCCUGAUCCAGCAAUGCCGCGUGAGUGAUGAAGGCCUUAGGGUUGUAAAGCUCUUUUACCCGGGAUGAUAAUGACAGUACCGGGAGAAUAAGCUCCGGCUAACUCCGUG